rnacentral:lncRNA from 1 species
GUCUCAGCUCGAGCAUUCCUAGCGCCAACACGCCCUCAGGUAAAGGUGGAAGUAAAUGGCCACGCUGUAUUGACAGAGCAGGUAGAUGAAACUCAAGAGAAAAGGUGUGGAUAAAUGAAACUAGCCCAUGAUGAACCUGUUUUCUCCGUGACCACAAUAUUAACCAGGAUGAAUGGCGGUGGCAGUGGGCCUGCAUCACAGGUUGCAGCAGAUGUUCUCAAUAUUUCUAUUAAAAUUUCCUUAUUUCCAUAUGCAAGAGGAGCCCCAGAGCUGCAUCCUUAUGGUAGCUACCAUGCCGUGAUGUAAGCUGCCAUUCACUGGGGAGCUUUGGCAAUAGAAUUGGCUAGAUCAGGAAGCCUAUGUCAACUAUGGAACAACAACUUGCAGCUCAUCUCUAUUGAUGAUACACUGCCUCUAGGACUGGGACAGAUAGCCACUGAGUACCUGCUUCAAAUCACCCUGCACGUUUUCUCUUUGGAAAGAUAAGCACUGGAGAACCAUCUCGUUACCUUCAGCAGAAAUGGAAACAAAUCAAGACAUUAAGAAUGCCGCAGUGGACAGCAGUUAUGCAAGGUUCAGCAGAGGAAGUUUUCAAGAUGGUGUGCCUCACUAGCCAGAAAUCAGAAAAGAUCGAAGCUAGCCUUUUCAUCUCAGCUGCUCCUUAAAUCAGUGCAACCCCUCCAAAUUAAUGUGAAUUGAAACUUGCAUUGCUUUUCAACUUAAUUGAAUACUUACUAUAUGUGAACCACUGCACAAAAUAGGGGAAGAAGAUGUGGGAGACAAAGAUGUGGAGCCUGUCUUCAAUAAAUUUACAGUUAGUUUCAGGGUACAUUGUUUUUCUUCUGCUGUUAAUUAGGUGUAUCCCCAAGACAAUAAAUACAUGAAUGGAAAAGUAUAUUCUGUGUUUUAAGUCUCUUUAAUAAAAAACAAAACAAAAUCCAAAAAAACUCCUAACAUGGCAACUCAGGACAUUUUAAUCCUUUUUUUUGUUGUUGGGCUUCUGAUAGGAUCCAUUUUAUUGAUUCCAUAAAUAUUUAGUAGACUUUAGACAUAUUAAUACAUUGUAGUUUGAGUUAAUUUGCAUUAAAUUCUGUUUUUUUCCCCUUAGGUAUAGAUUGUCUGUUGGAAAAAUAUAUUGCUUGUGGAUUUCUUGGGGAGUGGGAAGGUGAAUUAUACCUGUUGUCUCUACAGUCCACUACCUUCCACACCCUAGGGCAGUGGUCCCCAACCUUCUUGGCACCAGGGAUCAGUUUCCUGGAAGACAAUUUUUCUGUGGAUGGUGUGGGGAUGGUUUUGGGAUGGAACUGUUCCACCUCAGAUCAUCAGGCAUUAGUUAGGCUCUCAUAACGAGUGCGCAGCCUAGAUCCCUCACAUGCACAGUUCACAGUAGGGUUUGCGCUGCUAUGAGAAUCUAAGGCUGCCACUGAUCUGACAGGAGGCAGAACUCAGGUGGCAAUGCUUACUGGCCCACUGCUCACCUCUUGCUGUGCGGCCUGGUUCCUAAUAGGCCAUGGACCCCCACAGACGGGUACUAGUCUGCAGCCUGUGGACCCCAGCCCUAGGGGCCUGCCAUUCUGAGUGAGUUAUUAGCAUGAAGAAGAGGAAGAUCUGGAUCAAACGUGGGUGAUGGUACUCAGAGACCCAAGAUAGGAUAGGGAUGGAACAAAAUCCAUCUGGGCAACGGCUCUAUGAAAAUUUGGCUAAGUAAUUAUUUCAGUAUUCAUUGUAUUCAUUGUCCUUCGUGUUCCAUAAGUUAAAUGACUGUCUAAUUUUUCCAAAAAUUUAUUUCUGACUUGAGAAUAAGUGUGUCAUGAUUUUCCCAGUGUAAAGACACUGAUAUAACUGUAGAUACCAGACAUUUUAUGUAGUGUCUAUGACACAUUUUAGUAUGUAUGAGCCAACAAUAGACAUGUCUUUGUCUUGAGGAGUGUCCAUCUGAAUUGAAAAUGUGUCAGCUUUUUUUUAACAUCAUCAACAGACUUCUUAAUUAAGCUGCCAAUACAUACUGCCAAUAGCACUGUGUGCUGUCUGAGAAAUGCAUUGUGUAAGUGCUAUUUCCAUCUUAUUAAAUAAACAAUGUUGCUCUGUAUAAACUGGAUUUAAAGUGUUCUUUGAAUGAGGCAUUAUAUUGCUCCAUAAAUAAUGUGAUGUGAAUUCUCAUAUGAUCCCUUUUAACUUAAUUUCUAAAAAAAUAUUAUUUGCUCCUCAGUAAGGAAUAGCUCUAAUUGGACUGGUAACUUUAGUGAUAUGAUUUGUCUGUAACAGGCUGAAUCGCCCCACUCCCAAACUCCUGGUCGUGAUACUGGAUAUUUGUUAUGCCACUUUUAGUUUGCAUGAGGUAUCUUCCAGGAAGUAUUAGUUAUUAACUUGUGUUCUACUAAACUGUAGAUAUUUAUUUCCUGUUCUGGAAGAUUUCUUGGAGUGUCCAUCUGUGCAUUCCUGGUGCCUAGUGUAGUCUUGCUAAUGGAAUAGCACCUUUAUUGGUGCUACUUAGGGGUUGGUAGCUUACAAUCAAUCUACUUGGAACGUAUCCAAAUAAACUGGAUAUUUUUAUACA